rnacentral:ncRNA from 1 species
UGAUAGCUAUGAAGCGUGAGGUUGCUGCCGAUCGAGAGGUCAGGUAGGUUUUUCCGUGGAGCGAAGGUCAUGUUAGAAACUGACGACAA